rnacentral:rRNA from 1 species
UGGGGAAUCUUGCGCAAUGGGCGAAAGCCUGACGCAGCAACGCCGCGUGCGGGAUGAAGGCCUUCGGGUUGUAAACCGCUUUCAGGAGGGACGAAACCAGACGGUACCUCCAGAAGAAGCCCCGGCCAACUACGUGCCAGCAGCCGCGGUAACACGUAGGGGGCGAGCGUUGUCCGGAUUUAUUGGGCGUAAAGAGCUCGUAGGCGGCUCGGUAAGUCGGGUGUGAAACCUCCAGGCUCAACCUGGAGACGCCACCCGAUACUGCCGUGGCUAGAGUCCGGUAGAGGAGCGUAGAAUUCCUGGUGUAGCGGUGAAAUGCGCAGAUAUCAGGAGGAAUACCAGCGGCGAAGGCGGCGCUCUGGGCCGGUACUGACGCUGAGGAGCGAAAGCGUGGGGAGCAAACAGGAUUAGAUACCCUGGUAGUCCACGCCGUAAACGUUGGGCACUAGGUGUGGGGCCUUUUCAACGGGUUCCGUGCCGUAGCUAACGCAUUAAGUGCCCCGCCUGGGGAGUACGGCCGCAAGGCUAA